rnacentral:rRNA from 1 species
GGCCUACGGGACGCAGCAGUGGGGAAUAUUGCACAAUGGGGGAAACCCUGAUGCAGCGACGCCGCGUGAGUGAAGAAGUAUCUCGGUACGUAAAGCUCUAUCAGCAGGGAAGAAAAAAAGUCCUUUGGACUUUGGACGGUACCUGACCAAGAAGCCCCGGCUAACUACGUGCCAGCAGCCGCGGUAAUACGUAGGGGGCAAGCGUUAUCCGGAUUUACUGGGUGUAAAGGGAGCGUAGACGGCUGCGCAAGUCAGAAGUGAAAGCCCGGGGCUCAACCGCGGGACUGCUUUUGAAACUGGGUAGG